rnacentral:rRNA from 1 species
GUCUAUGGCCAUGCCACCUGAACCAAGCCCAAUCCCGUCUGAUCUCGGAAGCUGAGUGGGGUCGGGCCUGGUUAGUACUUGGUUGGGAGACCACCUAGGAAGACCAGGUGCUGUAGGUG